rnacentral:lncRNA from 1 species
UUUAACAGCAUAUUUGUUACUUUGCUCUACAAACCCAGCUGGAAACACACCACUUGUUGUUGCUGUGAGAGGGGCAGCCAGCUCUGUACCCCCACGUCUGGACCUGACAUCUCUUAGAUCAUAAUGCUAAAGGCCAAAGAUAAGUCUGAGGAGAGUGGUGCAAAACCUAAGCAUGUGCUUAGUAACAGAGGAACCCAGACUGAAAGCAAGAAGCCUCUGGAAGAGACAAAAAGCGUGAAAAAGCUGGAUGAAAACAAGGGAGCGUGUGAGAAGGUGAACACUUCCAGUGCUGUAGCCCACAAAGCUGACUCCAAACCCCAGCUCAAAGAUAGGACAGCCCAGCAGCAAGGGGUAGAAGGUGCUGGCAAACCACAGAGCUCUAAGAGCUGUCCACAGCAAAAGGACAUCGAUGUCAAAGCUGUGAAUCAACACAAUGGUCUUCCCUUCGUACAUCAAGAUCGUGCAGGCAACCAAAAUGCUCCUGGUGAAGGCCAGAAGGGGGACAGAGCCCCAGGCCCUGCUGAGUGCCACAGGCAGCUCGUUCAUCAGAAGCCUGGCAAGAAUGAAAGCAAAGCUGCAGUGUCCCGGGAGGCUGCGCCCUCCACGUCCAGGGCCAUAUCUGACACGGGCUGUGAAGUGACACACACCAGGAUAUCCAUCAGUGUACAUAUGACUGACAUGAAAGAAAAGAUUGAGAUGGCCAAGGAGGGAAAUGUAAGUGACAGCAAAGGUAAAAGUUCCAAAGUGAAAUCCACACCAGCAGACUUGAAGGGAGUCAAACAGCAGCCUGACAAAUUAAAACUUCAACAGAGUACUAAAAACAUCAGCUCCAAGCCAGACUCAGAAGUUAAGGGGGACAAUAAGCAAAAUGAACUUGCACCUCAAACAGGGAAGCAAAAGCCAUUCCUGAGCAAGCCCAAAGUAGGUGAAAAAGCUGAAGAGAAAUCAGAAUUAAAACGUGAGCCCAUAACCUCACAGAAUACCUCUGCAAAGGAGCCUGUGAAAGAUGCAGGGGUAAAAGUGAAAAUCCAUCAAGAAACAGCAAAAGCAGAAAAAUGCCCAGCAGAUACCAAAUCUGAGAGGAGGGGAUCUGGGACUGCAGGAGGAAGCAGACAUGAUGCUCAGCAGGGUACAGGAGAGGCACCAGAGAAAACCAAGUCUCUGGCAGCUGGCAGAGCUCUUCCCCUUCAAGGAGAAAUCAUUGGUAAGUUGC